rnacentral:rRNA from 1 species
ACAGCAGUCGCCGCGGUAAUACGAAGGGGGCUAGCGUUGUUCGGAAUUACUGGGCGUAAAGGGCGCGUAGGCGGCCAUUCAAGUUAGAUGUGAAAGCCCUGGGCUCAACCUAGGAAAUGCAUUUGAUACUGUUUGGCUUGAGUUCGGGAGAGGUGAGUGGAAUUCCCAGUGUAGAGGUGAAAUUCGUAGAUAUUGGGAAGAACACCAGUGGCGAAGGCGGCUCACUGGACCGACACUGACGCUGAGGCGCGAAAGCGUGGGGAGCAAACAGGAUUAGAUACCCCCGUAGUCCCUGUCUCUUAUAC